UACGGAGGGUGCGAGCGUUGUCCGGAAUCACUGGGCGUAAAGGGCGCGUAGGUGGCGCGACAAGUCAACGGCGAAAGCUCGGCGCUCAACGCCGAGUCGGCCGUCGAUACUGUCGGGCUUGAGCACUGUAGAGGCAGAUGGAAUUCCGGGUGUAGCGGUGGAAUGCGUAGAGAUCCGGAAGAACACCGGUGGCGAAGGCGGUCUGCUGGGCAGUAGCUGACACUGAGGCGCGACAGCGUGGGGAGCAAACAGG
rnacentral:rRNA from 1 species